rnacentral:rRNA from 1 species
GUUGAACGCUGGCGGCAGGCCUAACACAUGCAAGUCGAGCGGAUGAAGGGAGCUUGCUCCUGGAUUCAGCGGCGGACGGGUGAGUAAUGCCUAGGAAUCUGCCUGGUAGUGGGGGAUAACGUCCGGAAACGGGCGCUGAUACCGCAUACGUCCUGAGGGAGCAAGUGGGGGAUCUUCGGACCUCACGCUCUCAGAUGAACCUAGGUCGGAUUAGCUAGUUGGUGGGGUAAAGGCCUACCAAGGCGACGAUCCGUAACUGGUCGGAGAGGAUGAUCAGUCACACUGGAACUGAGACACGGUCCAUACUACUACGGGAGGCAGCAGUGGGGAAUAUUGGACAAUGGGCGGAAGCCUGAUCCAGCCAUGCCGCGUGUGUGAAGAAGGUCUUCGGAUUGUAAAGCACUUUAAGUUGGGAGGAAGGGCAGUAAGUUAAUACCUUGCUGGUUUGACGGUACCAACAGAAGAAGCACCGGCUAACCUCGUG